rnacentral:tRNA from 1 species
CGAUAUUUAGCUCACUGGAAGAGCUUUAGACUUCUAAUCUAAAGGGCCUGUUCAAGUCAGGCAAAUUCUGAUUCUCUAUCUA